UACAGAGGUCUCAAGCGUUGUUCGGAUUCAUUGGGCGUAAAGGGUGCGUAGGUGGCGCCGUACGUCAGGUGUGAAAUCUCGGGGCUCAACCCCGAAACUGCACUUGAUACUGCGGUGCUCGAGUACUGGAGUGGAGAUUGGAAUUUACGGUGUAGCAGUGAAAUGCGUAGAUAUCGUAAGGAAGACCAGUGGCGAAGGCGGGUCCCUGGACAGCACCUGACACUGAGGCACGAAAGCUAGGGGAGCAAACAGG
rnacentral:rRNA from 1 species